ACAAGUGACGAAACAUGGCUUUGUAUUGUAACACCCACUUGGUUGAGGUCCAAGAAUUGACAGAGUGAAUCGGAACAAACGCGAUCUUCUCUCAAACCCUAGACCUAACCUUCCUUACCCCAUCACUGUAACAUGGAGCUCAGUCCUCACCCUCAUUCGACGUAUUGUUCUUCAUUCUUCGUCUUCUUCAUCAACAGAAUCCCAAACCUUAACCCUAAUCCGAAGAUGUAGAAGACGAAGAAUCUGCUGGCGAAUUCGUUCAUCGUCUGGCUGAUUCGUUCAUCGACAAAUCUGAUGGCCGAUUCGUUUGUCAUCGAAUCUGAUGGCAGAUUCGUUCAUCGUCUUCGCACCAUCGGAUGAGCUUCGGCUCCGAAGAGACCUUGAUUCGUCUCACAUUAGGUUUUGAGCUUCCGCAAGUCUCUUGCUAUAUUACGUGCACUCGUCAGGCAUAAAAAGGCGAAUAACGAACCAUACGAAUCAAUGUUCAGCAGUGAUCGAUCACCCCAGCUGUUGCAUUCUUUUUAAAUGAUUUACUGAAUCGUUUCAUUUAUUUUAUUUAUUUAAAAUGCUAUUGGAUUUGGGUGCAUCGUAUUUUAAUUGAUAAAACUGGAUAAAAUAUCCAAAAGAUUAUAAUUGGAGAAA